CAGCAAGAGUUGAGAGGAGGCAGAUGGCUUCCAUCCCAGAAAUCGCUCUCCUCUUUCCAUCCCUACAGAGAGGGACAGAGAGGCAAAGUUCCUUGCAUCCCCGGGGCGCUGUCCCUGUGAGCUCCCGGUGUCCUGCAAACGUUGGCCCCUGAAUCACCGGGCCAGUGUGUGUGGGAUGGGGCUGCGUAGCCAGGCUGGCCUCCUGGGGUUCACUUUCUGCUUUCCUACCCCAACUCUUCCUGUGUGGCUUUGCUGGCCUUCCACUGGGGAGGCAUGUGGGUUUGGAGGGCAGAUGAGGGCCAGCUGGAGAACUGUACCCCUCAGUGAGGGCCGCCACCUUGAUGGUUUUUAAUGGAUAAUGGGGUUGACCUCUUUGUUCCUUCCACAUGUUUUUAUGUUUGACCAUUUGCUCAGCUGAGCUUGUCUUAAUAAUUGGAUUCAUGGUUAAUGAGCCCCACAUGGGAGAGAGGGCGGUCUUCAUUCUGAACCCAUUUAGGCAGCAUGGGCAGCCCUCCUCGCCGUGGGCGGCAUCAGAGCCCCCCCGCCCAGUCUUGGGGUUGCUCCUGGAUGCUGUCUGGGAGGCUUGCUCAUGGUGACAUCCUCUUCUCCCCAUCCACGUUACCGCAUUCAGAGCUUGGGUCACCUGGACACUGAACUCAGUUCCUAUGGGAAUACUCUCUUUGAAGAACCCAUGAAGCAGUGUCAGGCUGGUACGAGGAUCAGCAGUGAUUUCUUUGAGGAGGAGAGCCCGUUUCUUCACUCACAGGCCAUGUCUGAGUGGAUCAAGAAGAACAGAGUGCCCUUUUAUGAGAUUUUGUCUGCGUAGACCACUAGCUUGCUCCUCCUGGAGGGAGAGAAAAGUCUCUCCUAGGUAUUUGGUUGUCAACCUCAACUGCUUGCUGAGCCUUCCCCAAGACCAGGCACCUUGGCAGAGAUUUCUGGGUUGUCAGGCAGAACCGAGCAUUCGAGGGUGAUAACUCACUGGAGUCCCUGAAAUCCCUGAUGGACGCACCAGGUAAAAGCAUCCAGGGUUGAAACCAGAUCAGGAAGGUUAUUGUCAGCCUGAGGCUCCUGUAGAGGUGCAUCCACGUUGCAGGUAUUUUCCUUCUUGCUGAGGAGAAACCUGGAUUUCUCAGCUUUGGCACAGUCACAACAUUUGGGGUGAGACCAUUCGUGGUGGUGGUGGGGGGGCAUCCUGUGUAUUGUAGGACGGUUAGCAGCAUCUGUGGUCUCCAUCCUCUAGGUGCCAUUCUACCCUCCCAGCUAUGGCUACCCCAGAUGUCUGCAGAUGGUUUCAAUGCUGUGGGGCAAGGGAGUGGUACGUGAGCAAAACCACCACAGUUGAGAGCCAUUGGUCUACACUUGUGGAAAUGUUUGAGGCUGGACUACACAGGCUGAAGUUCUCUGCCGAGAUAUAGAUAUUUCCCUGGCGAUGAUCUUUCAAGUUGACAUGAAGACAUGGCCACCCGCUGGAACGUCGUGGGUCUGCCGUGGCGCUCUUGUAAUUUGUGAGGCAGGCUCCUGAUGAAUGCAGUGAGUAAGUGGGAAAUGGUAGGAUGUUCUCCCAUCCUCCCCUUGCCGAAAGUGCUGCCUGCGCAGGUUGGUGGACGGUCCUUUGAGCAGGAAGAAGACACGGAGCACAUUCCUGUUAGCUACGACAGAGAGGGGCAGGGUACACACUGGACAUUUCAAGCCCCUGUAGAGAAGCAAGUCUUACUGUGCUGGGAGUACUUGUGGAGUGGGGGCUGUGUUGCCCUGGGCUUUAAUUAUUUCAGGAACAUUUAACCACAGGGCCAGCAGGCUGGAUCUUGAUAUGUGUUUCUCAGUUGGAAAGAUUUUGGACCAUAGAGAAAUGUCUUCUCAAUUCUUUUAAUUUCAUUAAGGUGGUCAUUUUUCUUCUUGUGGCCUCUGGAAUGUGACACAGAACUCAAGGGACAGGAAGGAGAUGAGUUGGAGGCUGGGACAGGGGUCCCUGCCAGGGAUGCUGGUGACUCACGUGACGGUGUUGAUGUGUGGAGUCCGGUGCCUGGUUUGGGGAAUUUUCGUGGGAUAUGUUCCAAAGGACUGAUGGACCUAUCAGGUACUGGAGGUGAAUGGUCAAGUCUGAUCUCAGGGCUGACAGUGUCAGGCAAGGACAGGAAGUUGGCAUUGGUCUCAUUGGCUGAGGUUGCUGGGGACCCAGGGGGCAAUGUGUGCCAGGACAGAUGGGUCUGGGGCUAGGAAGGCAGGUUUGGGCUGGCGACCCGGGCUUGGGAUGCAUCCCAGGUAGACAGUGGUUGAGGCUGUGGAAAUGACGGCGAUUGCCUGGGAUGAGAGUGGAGACAGACAAGAUGGGGGUUUUGCUUUAAGCCUGGGGAGCCCACCUCCCAGGUUCAAGCGAUUCUCCUGCCUCAGUUUCCCAAGUAGCUGGGAAUGCAGGUGCGUGCCACCA